rnacentral:lncRNA from 1 species
ACCUGCCUGACUUUGGAUCAGGAGUCUGAGCCCAGCCUGGCAAAACCUGUGCAGGAGAAAACCCCUCGAGAUCAAAGCUGGGAGAAAGAAGACAAGUGGUGGAGGAGUCAAUGUGUGACAUGGAACAGGUCUGAGCCGAGGAGCUGAGGGACAGUGCUGGUCAGAGAGACUUGGCAGCAGAAACUGUCUAUCCAAGCCUGCAGAGAUAAAGCACAGCAGCCACUGACACUCCCUGACGUCCUUCUCCGUUUGUCGGGAGGGAGCCGACAGGACACAGGUGGGUUCAUUCUCCACGGAAAAGGCCAUCAAAGCAGGACUUUGUGGGGGUGACACAGCAGCAGUAGCACUGCAGAGCC